GCAGAGUGGGAGAGGUGGAGGUGAUGGGAAGGCGAGGGCAGUUUAGAUUUCCCACGGCCCUCUGCUCUCUUCCUCUGUGCCAUACACCUGUAGGUGUGCUUGAGGAAUAGCUACUCAUUAGCUGCCAGUGGGGCUGGCUCUUUUUAGUUGCCAUGGAUUAUCAAAACAAACUAAUUCAUGGAUGAAUGAGAUAGGUAAAGGUUGCCAUUCAUGGGUCAUGACGAGGGGUGAGAGAUUCCUUUGGCUGUCUGAUCUAUUGAUAAGUCAUGUCUCUGCUCUUUCCAGCUCUGACCCUGUGAUCAGAAUGAAUGAGCUAGGCCAGAGUUUCUCUCUCAGAGGCUUCUCAUUCAUUCACACUGAGUGACGACCACUGAAGACCACUCCAUCUCCCCCCACAGAUCCACACCACACAGCCCCCACUAUGACCAAUUCGGCAGGCAGCUUUUCAAAGCUUGCCUGGCUGUCAGAUUAAUGUCGUCUAGCAGAGACAUUGUGAUGCUAACUAGAAUAACACCGUGUUCUGCAUUUCUCACCUGGAGGCUGGAGCCAUGGUUGACCAGGUCUCACUGCAGAGAGACAUGAAAUAUGAACGAUAAACUUUCUCUUUCUCCUAUCGUACCUGUAAUACCCAGAGCAGAGGACACCUCAGACAUCACGGAGACUGAGAAGCUACAGGGAGAUACUUUCACAAAACUUUUUUGUCUGUGAAAGUGCUCUAAUGUUGAAAGUCCAACGAACAGUUGGAGUUGCAACAAUUUUCUAAACAUAAGCGAUUUGCUAUAACCUAUAUUUCAGAGUGGUAUGAUGAUGACAACUUUCACUCACUCAAUCAAUAAUCUAGUUGCCCUACCACUGCUUUGUCAAAUGAAGAUGACCAACCGACUCUACUGGAUUAAUUCAUUUCAAACAUUGUGAUUUAUUGUAACAUUAUUCCCUGGCUGUCAUCACCCCUGGCGAGACUCCCUAUUCUAAUGUCAUGAGCAAUGAGAGUGAUUGAGAAAGAAGACAAGAGAAAGCAGGAGUAUGCUGGAGUGUGUGAUUGCAAAUGAGUAGGCUAGCAGGGAGAGGAAGAGAGGUGGGUCAAAGAGACAAUGAGAGAGUGGGGGCAAAGAGAGAAAGAGAAAGGGAAAGAGAGAUGAGAGGGAGAGAGAGAUAGAGG
rnacentral:lncRNA from 1 species